rnacentral:tRNA from 1 species
GCCUAGCUGGCUCAGUCAGUGGAGCAUGUGACUCUUGAUCUCAGGGUUGUGAGUUCGAGCCCCACGUUGGGUG